UCAUUGUGUUUGAAAUUUUCACGCUUCAAACAAGUCGCUCUGUUUCUGCUGCUACUUUUUCAUUUCUCGAUUAAAUUUUCAAAAGGCCCUAUCUGCAUAGGAAACCCAUGAGGGAUAGGUUGUUUUGAAAAUUUAAUCUAGAUUUAUAAUCAGUUAAUUUGCCAAUAAACGCAGAAAAUUUGGUGAAAAUGUGAAAAAAAGCUUGCUGCUCUUCCCGCUGGCCCUGCGGAAGGCUAAUUUGGCUGAGAUUUUACAAGUUAGCCAUCUCCUAGUGGACUGAAUCAACUGGAACCGGCCCUCAAUGUUCUCCGCCGUGAAAUCAUUUUGUUUCUUCGAAACAGGUUCAUCAAUCAACUCGGGAGUGCGAGAGCUCGAGCCUCGUUGCCGAGCCAUGGAUGGCGCCGCGAAAGUUCUCAAUUCUUGAAUGUUCUGCCCUGAAGGAUGCCCAACACAGGAAAAGAAAAUAAUUUGGAAAUAAAUAAUGCUGUGUGGAAA